rnacentral:misc_RNA from 1 species
GUAGGUGAACCUGCGGAAGGAUCAUUAAAAAUUCCGUUUGCUAACGCAUUCGAAUUUCCACCCUGUGUAUCUGUUACCGUAUGCUUUCGCUGGGCUGUGGCCGCUCUCGGGCGGCCCCUUCUGACCGGGCAACAGCCCUCUCGGGAGAGUCCUGGCGGGAGCCAAACAAUCAAACCCUUUUAUGUUACAUAUAGUCUGAACUUGAUCUAAAAAAUCAAUUAAAACUUUCAACAAUGGAUCUCUUGGUUCU